rnacentral:rRNA from 1 species
CGAACGCUGGCGGCGUGCUUAACACAUGCAAGUCGAACGGUGAAGCGCCUUCCUUUUUGGUGGGUGUGGAUGAGUGGCGAACGGGUGAGUAACACGUGAGUAACCUGCCCCCUUCUUCUGGAUAACCGCAUGAAAGUGUGGCUAAUACGGGAUAUUCUGGGUCUGUCGCAUGAUGGGUCUGGGAAAGAUAUUGUUUCGGUGGGGGAUGGGCUCGCGGCCUAUCAGCUUGUUGGUGGGGUGAUGGCCUACCAAGGCGGUGACGGGUAGCCGGCCUGAGAGGGUGGACGGUCACACUGGGACUGAGACACGGCCCAGACUCCUACGGGAGGCAGCAGUGGGGAAUAGUGCACAAUGGGCGCAAGCCUGAUGCAGCGACGCCGCGUGAGGGAUGGAGGCCUUCGGGUUGUGAACCUCUUUCGCCAGUGAAGCAGGCCUGCCUCGUUUGUGGGUGGGUUGACGGUAGCUGGAUAAGAAGCGCCGGCUAACUACGUG